UACAGAGGUCUCAAGCGUUGUUCGGAUUCAUUGGGCGUAAAGGGUGUGUAGGUGGCGCGCUAAGUCGGGUGUGAAAUUUCGGAGCUUAACUCCGAAACUGCAUUCGAUACUGGCGUGCUUGAGGACUGGAGAGGAGACUGGAAUUCAUGGUGUAGCAGUGAAAUGCGUAGAGAUCAUGAGGAAGACCAGUGGCGAAGGCGGCUUUCUGGGCCUUACCUGACGCUGAGACGCGAAAGCGUGGGGAGCGAACCGG
rnacentral:rRNA from 1 species